GAUGAAGAACGUAGCGAAAUGCGAUACGUAAUGUGAAUUGCAGAAUUCAGUGAAUCAUCGAAUCUUUGAACGCAUAUUGCGCUCUCUGGUAUUCCGGAGAGCAUGCUUGUUUGAGUAUCAGUAAACACCUCAACUCCCCUUUCUUUUUUGAAAUGGGAGCUGGACUUGAGUGAUCCCAACGCUUUUCUCACCGAAAAGUGGCGGGUUACUUGAAAUGCAGGUGCAGCUGGACUUUUCUCUGAGCUAAAAGCAUAUCUAUUUAGUCUGCCUAAAAACAGAUUAUUACCUUUGCUGCAGCUAACAUAAAGGAGAUUAGUUCUUGUGCUGACUGAUGCAGGAUUCACAGAGACCGCUUCGGCUGGCCUUUGUAAACUCGAUCUCAAAUCAAGUAAGACUACCCGCUGAACUUAAGCAUAUCAAUAAGCGGAGGA
rnacentral:misc_RNA from 1 species